AUAGCGUAUAUUAAAGUUGUUGCAGUUAAAAAGCUCGUAGUUGAAUUUUAGGCCUGGUUGGACGGUCUGCCUUAGGGUUUGUACUGUCCUGGCUGGGUCUUCCCUUCUGGUAAACUGUCGUGUCGUUUAUUCGGUGCGGCAGGGAACCAGGACUUUUACUUUGAAAAAAUUAGAGUGUUUAAAGCAGGCCUACGCCUGAAUACAUUAGCAUGGAAUAAUAAAAUAGGACUUUGGUUUUAUUUUGUUGGUUUCUAGGACCACCGUAAUGAUUAAUAGGGAUAGUCGGGGGCAUCAGUAUUCAAUUGUCAGAGGUGAAAUUCUUGGAUUAAUUGAAGACUAACUACUG
rnacentral:rRNA from 1 species